rnacentral:rRNA from 1 species
GAUUUCUGACUUGGUGCGCGCUGUCCGUUGCGGUUACGUGACGUGUGCAGUAGCGCGCCUGUCAUACUUCUGGAUUUUGAUGUUGCCCUUCACUGGGUGAUGUCGCUAUCUAGAUCUUUUACUUUGAAAAAAUUAGAGUGUUUAAAGCAGGCUCGCGCUAUGAAUACAUUAGCAUGGAAUAAUAAUCUAGGACUUCGGUUCUAUUUUGUUGGUUUCUAUAACUGAAGUAAUGAUUGAUAGGGAUAGUUGGGGGUGCUAGUAUUGGCCGGCCAGAGGUGAAAUUCUUGGAUUCGGUCAAGACUAACUUAUGCGAAAGCAUU